UCCCUGGUGGCUCAGUGGGUUAAGGAUGUGGCACUGUUACUGCUACGGUUCAGGUUCAAUCCCUGGCCCAGGAA
rnacentral:tRNA from 1 species